GGAGCAACCCGCUGUUCCUGGUUUGAGCUCGCCUUUAUGGACUUAAAGAACGAAGUGGUGCCAAAAUUAAUGAUGGCGCAACAGAGUUGCGAGAUGUCACAAGAAAACAGAUUUUAGAAGAAGAGACUCUGGAGGAGGUCACACAAGAGCAAAAGGGAGAACUGCAAAGACUGAGACAAACCCUGGCUGAAAUAGAGAUCACCGAAGCAGGUCAAGAAGCAGCUGCAGAAAAGCUGGGCAUUCACCCUGGCAAAAGUGGUCAACCAAAUCAGGAUGAAAUUAGAUUGCAUGUGUUUGAGCGAAUGAUGGAUCAGCUCUUCCAAGCAUACUACCUUCACGUGGAUGCAUCCAGUUUCCAGGCGCUGUCCGAUACAACCUACUUGUGGCUCGAAGAACACUGCAGUCCCUCCCGCAUCAC